rnacentral:SRP_RNA from 1 species
UUCGGAGCGAUAUUCGGUUCGUGAAGCGGGUCAGAUCCUGACGGAAGCAGCCCUAAGCGGAGUGCGUAUGCGCUCUUUUUUA